rnacentral:rRNA from 1 species
UACGAGGGGGGCGAGCGUUGUUCGGAAUUAUUGGGCGUAAAGGGUGCGAUAGGCGGUUUGGUAAGUCUGAUGUGAAAUCUAUGGGCUCAACUCAUAGUCUGCAUCGGAAACUGCCGGGCUUGAGUGUGGGAGAGGUGAGUGGAAUUCCUGGUGUAGCGGUGAAAUGCGUAGAUAUCAGGAGGAACACCUGUGGCGAAAGCGGCUCACUGGACCAUAACUGACGCUGAUGCACGAAAGCUAGGGGAGCAAACAGG